AUCGCUUCUCGGCCUUUUGGCUAAGAUCAAGUGUAAUAUUUAAGUGUUCAUAAAUUUUAAAAAGUAAUACAAAUUGUAUUUAAAUUUAUUUAUUUAAAGGUGUCUUUAGGUAUAUCUGCAUUUAUCAUAUGUAUAUAAAUAUGCAGUGAUGUAUUUCUGCUCAUAGCUUAGACAUAUUUUCA